GCCUACGUAGCUCAGUGGUAGAGCACUUCCUUGGUAAGGAAGAGGUCGCCGGUUCAAUNCCGGCCGUAGGCU
rnacentral:tRNA from 1 species